rnacentral:tRNA from 1 species
CGGGGUGUGGCUCAGAUGGUAGAGCGCUUGGUUCGGGACCAAGAGGCCGCUGGUUCGAAUCCAGUCACUCCGACCA